GCUUGCUUCAGCAACUCAUACACUACAAUUGAAACAAUUCAGAGAUUAGCAUGACCCCUGUAUAAGGAUAAUGAACAAAAAAAGAAGAUUUAUUAUAGAUAG